GUUGUUUGCCUGGAGUUGAAAGCUAUGUUAUGACUGUAGCAUUUUGCAGUUUAUUAGGAGCAUGGGUAGGAGCCGUACCAAUACCACUUGACUGGGAUAGGCCAUGGCAGGUAUGGCCUAUAUCUUGCUCAAUUGGGGUGGUGAUUGGACAUGGAACAGGGCUCCUUCUCUGUACCGCCCACGCUGGCUUCAAUGUUCUUCAACAAUUUAGACGAGGAAAGUCAAAACUGUUCUAGGAUUCUAAGGUGCAGCUAUUUAAAUACAGUAGAACCCCAUCCUUUGGGACACCCCUAAUAUUGGGAACACUUUUUCAGCCACUGAAUGAGGGAAAGUAUAUCGCACUAUGACUAACCGCUAUUCAGGAUGCACCCCUACUACGGGGACAGUUUUUUGUUCUCAAAGGUGUCCACUUAAUAGGGGUUCUACUGUAUAAAUAACUAUAAUGAAUACACACACCUAUUACAAAUGUGGUAAAGCUUUUUAAACCUUGUAUGGCAAACAUCAUAUUUAUAACUUUCUGUAAGAAGGCGAGAAAAAAAUUAUCUGAAAUUUCCAGUUUUAUAUGGCAAUGGUAUGCUAACAAUAUUAAAUGAUUACUUUUGCUUGGUGGUACGUUCGCAAAACAAGGUGUAGAGAGUCUUACCAAAUUUGGAUACAUAAUUUUUUACUAAGGGUAGAUAACACAAACCAUGACAUAUACAGUAUAGUAUGUAUACAGUUAAGUUAUUAAUAAAAAAUAGUGUGUAAAAGCAUAAAUUAAAAUCAUAACCACCCAGACAUUUCCAAUUACAAUUAUUAUUUUAGUGAAAAUGUUAAGCUUUUUUUUUUUGGGUGUGGUGGGGUGGGGGAGGGGUUUGGAAUAAAAGUUAUACAAAAAGGUGUGAAAUACACAUGAAUAAUCAUUUUUAGUAAAUAUUUUAUCUUUAUGAAAACUCACCAAUCUCAACAUUAGGAAAUAGAUGGCUGUACUUGCAACAUUUUUAGAAUCCUGGAUGUUAAUAAUAGAGCAAAAUAAUUACACACACUCACAUUUUUAGAAGCUUAGAGCUAAAACGAUUGUAAAUAAAAUGCACACACAAUGAACUGAAUGUAUCCACACACUCCUGCAACCAGUGUUCAGGUGAACAUACGUGGUGCAUUGCUAGGCUAUCAAAUGAUAUUCAUAUUAUGUUUGUUUAUGCAUUUUAAAUGUCAUUGAAUAUAACACCAGUAUAUACUUAUAAUUCAUCAAACUAACUAUUAUGAUUAUGUGGAUCAAAGGUGUAGAUGAAUUUAUGACAACAGUUCUUGGAACAUGAAUAACUGCGCCACCUAACAGCCUAUGUUAAACUCAUAGUCUUGAGUAUCCAGAUUGAAGCAUUUCUUCAUCUUUUCUCUAGUAGAGAUCUAGAGUUUUAUACUUCUAUCAAGGUACUCAGUUGUAAAUCCUGCCUCACUGACUGUUCCUUCCUCAGAAAGUAAUUUAUAAAUUUUGUAGUUUAUAGUAAUGCAAUUUAAUAGUUUUUUUUAUGCAAUUUAUCUAAUACUGUUUUACUGGCACUCUUAUAGACCUGGGUCAUUCUGAAUCUAUUCACAUUCAAUUUUGUCUGUAUCUCUCAAUUUUGACAAUAUCUCUUUAUAUAAAGAGUAAAUUAAAAAUAUAAAAUUAUCACAGUUACUCGCAGUAAUAGGGUGAUUUUGCAACUUUAUGUAAAUGAAAACGACCACGUCACAUUUUCGUUUUCAUUAUUGCAGACUAUUUGAGUACAUACAUCUCUCUCUACUCAUGUACCUUUAAAAGCACUUUGAAUCUAUCUUUUGCCCCUUUCGUUGUUAUUUUCACACCUUUUAUUAUUGUUCAUUCGUUGAACUAUCGCCUCCCACUUGACAUCUCUUCCUGCUUAUGUGCCUUUUAAAGCACUUUGAAUCUGUCUUCUGCUCCUGUUGGUUGAAACACAUUUCAUAUCAAGUAACAACAAAUUCUUGUUUCCCGUCCGGUGGUCUUUGAGAACUUGCUGUUUCUUAAGGGAAGCUUCUACACAAAAUUCAAAAUUUUGUUAUUAUUAACUCUACAAAUUCCAAACUUGGUCAGAAUAUAAGGUGGGGUUAAUCAUUUCCUAAAAUAUAAAAUUUGGGUCAAAUGUCACCUAAUUACAGUAGCAUUAUUAUGGCCAAUUUGGCUGGAAAAAGUAGGGUGAAGAUUUGAUGCUCUAACUCCUCCAUCUGUGUAUUAUUUCACAUAAUUUCACUUUAUAUACAUAGUGUGAUGGUGUAGAAUCAUAGUGUCACGCUGAUUGGUGUGUGACUUGAUGAGAGGGUGUAGAGACGAUUACGAUACAAGAAAUAUCUUGACAAGCUUAUAUAUUGUGUGUUUGUAUGGCCAGAUUUUAUUCACAUAUACUCUGCUGUCUGUGCCUCUAUAUCGAAUUCCCUUUUUUAUGCUUCGAGCUCGAGUGCAUCUGCUCUCAUCUAAGUCUCAGCUCAUUCUCCCUAUCCUCUCAGAAUAUUCCCUAAAUAUCUACGAUACCAGGGUAACUAAUCUAGGUUAAGUACGAGCCAUUAAUUAUAGUAAAGAGGUGGGACAUGGACUGGAAUGUUAAUGUCCAUCUGAGAGUAACUGAUAUGGGAAAACUGACCAAGUUCAGGUAUUCAACCUUGGUGAGUUCAUGAGGUGAUUUGAAAGUUCAGGACAGGGCCUUCAAGAACCUGUUACAUCGUGACUAGAGAUAAUUACACAUAAAUACAUUUUUUUUUAUAAUACAUAUGAAUUUUAUUGAAACCAAAUAUUUUUUUUGCCAAAAAACAUGUUUUUUUUUCUCAAAAAUUUAAAAAGUUGAGCCAUAAUUUAAAAAAAAGCCAUGUCACUAUGAUUUUAUACAUCUAAAGAAUACUGUGUGAAAAUUUUAUUCAAUUCGGUAAAUUUUCAGUGAACUUGAGAAAGUUAAAAAAUAUUGCGAAAUGAGAUAUUUGAUUUCAAAAUCCGAGUGUCUUAUUGUUAUCUAUUUUCGAUGUGUUUACAGUUCCUAAUCCAAUAUUUCUUCAAUUGCUGGUCCGUAUUGAUCCCCUUCAAGUUCAAUAAAGCGCUGAUCAUUUGCUGCA